AGUUUUCGAUCCUGGCUCAGGAUGAACGCUGCGGCAUGCUUAACACAUGCAAGUCUAACGGGAAGUGGUGUUUCCAGUGGCGAAAACGGGUGAAGUAACGCGUAAGAACCCUGCCCUUGGGAGGGGACCAACACUGGAAACGGUUCUAAUACCCCAGUAGGCGCGGAGGCAAAAGGAGAAAUCCGCCCAAGGAGGGCUCGCGUCUGAUAGCUUAGUUGGAGCAUAGCUUACCAAGGCGAUGACAGUAAGCUGGUCCCGAGAGGAUAUCAGCCCACAACUGGGACUGAGCACGGCCGACGCCUACUGGAGGCAGCAGUGGGAAUUUUCCGCAAUGGGCGAAAGCCUGACGGCGCAAUGCCGCGUGGAGGUGGAAGGCCUACGGUUCGUAAACUUCUUUCCUCGGAGAAGAACAUGAGUAUCUGAGGAUGCAUCUCGCUAACUCUGUGCCCACCCGCGGUAAGGCAGAGGAUGCAAGCGUUAUCCGGAAAUGAUUGGGCGUAAAAAGCGUCUGUAGUUGCUUUUUCAAGUCCGCCGUCAAUCCAGGGCUCAACCCUGGCAGCGGUGGAAACUACCACUGGAGUACGGUGGGCAGAAGGGAAGUUCCGGUGGAGGUGAAAUGCAUUGAGAUCAGGAAAGAACACCAACGGCGGAAGCAAUCUCUGGGCCGACACUGACACUGGAGAGACGAAAGCCUAGGGGACGCAAAUGGGCAUAGAGACCCCAGUAGUCCUACCGUAAACGAUGAUCUAGGUGCUGUGGGCGACUCGACCCGUGCAGUGCUGUAGCUAACGCGUUAAGUAUCCGCCUGUGAGUAAACUUUCGCAAGACAAACUCAAAGAAUUGACGGGGGCCCGCACAGCGUGGGAGCAUGUGGUUUUAAUUCGAUGCAAGCGAAGAACCUUACUCAGGGCUUGAACAGCCGCGAAUCCUCUUGAAGAGAGGGUGCCCUCGGGAACGCGGACAACAGGUGGUGGUCAUGGCUGUCCGUCGCUCGUGCCGUAAGGUGUUGGUUUAAGUCUCGCAACGAGCGCAACCCUCGUGUUUAUUUGGCCACUAUGAGUUUGGAACCUGAACAGACCGCCGGUUUAAGCCGGAGGAAGGAGAGGAUGAGGCCACGUCAUCAUGCCCUUAUGCCUGGCGACACACGUGCUACAAUGGGCGGGACAAGGGUCGCGGAUCUCGCGAGGGUGAGCUAACUCCAAAAACCCGUCUCUCAGUUCGAUUGCAGGCUGCAACUCGCCUGCAUGAACGCAGGAAUCGCUAGUAUCGCCGUCAGCCAUACGCGGUGAAUCGUUCCGGCCUUGUUACAACACCGCCGCGUCACACUAUAGAGCUGUCCAGGUUUGAAGUCAUGACCCUUAACUUAACCGUAAGAGGGGAUGCCUAAGGCUAGGCUUUUUUGCGACUUGGAGUGAGUCUAAACAGGUACCGUACUGGGAAUGUGGCGGCUG
rnacentral:rRNA from 1 species